UAGUCACGCAAUCUUACAUCUAACUAAGAUGUUUUGUGCAGUAUUUCUCAAUUACAAAAUGUGCAUGAAAACGAGUCGUCUCUCCUUGAAUGACAACAAUAACUUUAUUGAAGAACCCUACUGUUGACCAAUCACUGACGAAGGGGCGUAGAAUGCGGCUUGGAACUUCGACUUGCCUCCAGAACAUUUUUUGUGUGCCCGAACAGCCGAAAAAUUCCUAACCGAAGUCCAAAAACGUCACAAAAUGUCAUCAUAAUAUAUUUACAAACUCUUCUGAGCUGUUUCGGCUGGGAAGCAUGCGGACGCCUUUAGAUGACAAUGAAGCGUUUUAGGAUGCAAACAAAUAUAUUUGCAGUUUGGAUUAGGAGUGUUUUUAGCUCCUUGGAGGCCAUCUUGUUUUGAGAUUUCUUGUCACUGUAUCUAGCCCUAUUGGAAUGCCCGGCCCUCGAUUCUCCAGUGGCUUGUGUACUGUAGCAUGGUUCUCACUUAGUAGUAACAUGUUUGUGUGUGUAUUGCAGAGUAGCCUGGUGGCAUUUUACAGUGGGGACAGUGACCCAGAGGAGGCAACAGACCCAGAUCAGGUGGUUGGAGGUGAUGAGCGGUCAGACAGGCCAACUUCCUCCAGUCUGUCAGCCUAUCUGCUCUGUCUCAGGCAGUUCCCUAGCGAAGACGCCCUGCUGCGGCACCAACAGCUUCAGACCUGCAGGAUGGCAAGCAGCAGGAUGACACUUUAAUCUCUAUGAGUCUGGGUGGAAAUAUUUUGGGUUAUUUUUAGCGCUGCCAUCUGCUCAGGAUGUGCAAUUGUCCUUUAGCAUAAACAAGGUGAGAACAUACAUUCUGUUGCACUUUCAUGCCAAGACUAGUCGUGCCUUUUAAAUGUGUGAAUUGCAUAGUUCCCGGGGGGAAUUAACCUUUUUAUUCUGUUAAUCGUUUUAGCAAAACUUGGACAUUCACAGACGAUCCAAACUAUUGGAAGCCGAGCUGGAGGAGUUGGAGAGAAAAUAUAUAGAGAGACAGAGCAGCUGAAAGAAGUGAUAAGAAUGGUGUUCCUGAACCACCAGCGCCCAAGAAGAAGAAAUUCUAUCAGCCUCCUGUUCCCCCCUAUCUCAAAAGCAGGGGGUCUCAUAUUCCCCUAACAUAUGUUAUUGUCCAACUAUAGCCUUGAUCAAUUCAAGUUAACAGAACUAACAAAUGAAUUACAUUUGAUUAAUAUAAUUUGAUUAAUUCCCAUCUCUCUCAACCACCUGACACAUAGGAACUAUGAGCAGCCCACCAAAGACGGUCUGACUAAUGACAACAUUGGGAACAAGAUGCUGCAGGCAAUGAGUUGGCAAGAAGGCAUCAUUACGGACCAAGGGCACACGCCUGGGCAUCAAGGGAAGCAACUACGAACUCCACGCAUCGGACACCUACAAGGACACCGUGCUCAAGGCCAUCUUUGCACGCUUCAUAGAACUUGCGUGAACAGGGACUCCUUCCUCACCCCUACACCCUUGUUACCCCAUUAUCCACACCACUGUGAAAAUUAGAAGAACAAGAGGAGCAUGUGCAUUUGUUAUUUAAGUGUUUUGUUUGGUUUACUUUAUUUGUUAUUCCUUUCUGUGACCAUGUACAACAGCUACAAAUAAUUAAGAUAUCAGGCAUUCUAUUAACCACAGGCCAAGCUAGUUCUUGUCCAUUUCGUGUAUUUUUUUUCCUUCCAUAUAUACUGAACAAAAAUAUAAAUGCAACACGUAUCGUUGGUCCCAUAUUUCAUGAGCUGAAAUAAAUGA